rnacentral:tRNA from 1 species
AAAAUCCGUCGAUUUCAAAAAUCGUGAGGGUUC